AGAGUUUGAUCAUGGCUCAGGAUGAACGCUGGCGGUGUGCCUUAGGCAUGCAAGUCGAGCGAACUAUCUUUUAGAUAGUUAGCGGCAGACGGGUGAGUAACAGGUAGGCAUCUACCCUUUGGUGGGGAAUAGCCGGUCGAAAGGUCGGGUAAUUCCGCAUAAUCCCUACGGGGCAAAGCGCAUAACUGCGCGCCGAUGGAGGAGCCUGCUUCCUAUCAGCUUGUUGGUGAGGUAAAAGCUCACCAAGGCUAUGACGGGUAGGGGGCGUGAGAGCGCGAUCCCCCACAAGGUCACUGAGACACGGGGCCUACACCUACGGGUGGCAGCAACCGGGAAUAUUGCGCAAUGGGCGAAAGCCUGACGCAGCGACACCGCGUGUGGGAAGAAUGCCUUCGGGUUGUAAACCACUGUGGCGAGGGAGGAAUAAAUGACAGUACCUCGCUAGAAAGCACCUGCUAACUACGUGCCAGAAGCCUCGGCAAUACGUAGGGUGCAAGCGUUAUCCGGAUUUACUGGGCGUAAAGGGUUUCGCAGGUGGAUAGAUAAGUCUCGUUUGAAAGACUGCGGCUCAACUGCAGAACCGGACGAGAAACUAUUUAUCUUGAGGGCAUCAGGGGAGAUCGGAAUUCUAGGUGGAGGGGUGAAAUCCGUUGAUAUCUAGAGGAACGCCAAUGGCGAAGGCAGGUCUCUGGGGUGUUCCUGACACUCAUGUACGAAAGCUAGGGUAGCAAACGGGAUUAGAGACCCCGGUAGUCCUAGCCGUAAACGAUGGAUACUAGUUGCGUGAUUCGCUGAAUACAUAUUAAUUCAUGUGUAUUGAGUGAGUCGCGUGACGUAAGCUAACGCGUUAAGUAUCCCGCCUGGGUAGUACGGCCGCA
rnacentral:rRNA from 1 species